GCGGAUGUAGCUCAGUUGGUAGAGCUUCAGCUUCCCAAGCUGGUUGUCGCGGGUUCGAGUCCCGUCAUCCGCUCCA
rnacentral:tRNA from 1 species